GACGAACGCUGGCGGCGUGCCUAAUACAUGCAAGUAGAACGCUGAAGGAGGAGCUUGCUUCUCCGGAUGAGUUGCGAACGGGUGAGUAACGCGUAGGUAACCUGCCUGGUAGCGGGGGAUAACUAUUGGAAACGAUAGCUAAUACCGCAUAAGAGUAGAUGUUGCAUGACAUUUGCUUAAAAGGUGCAAUUGCAUCACUACCAGAUGGACCUGCGUUGUAUUAGCUAGUUGGUGGGGUAACGGCUCACCAAGGCGACGAUACAUAGCCGACCUGAGAGGGUGAUCGGCCACACUGGGACUGAGACACGGCCCAGACUCCUACGGGAGGCAGCAGUAGGGAAUCUUCGGCAAUGGACGGAAGUCUGACCGAGCAACGCCGCGUGAGUGAAGAAGGUUUUCGGAUCGUAAAGCUCUGUUGUAAGAGAAGAACGAGUGUGAGAGUGGAAAGUUCACACUGUGACGGUAUCUUACCAGAAAGGGACGGCUAACUACGUGCCAGCAGCCGCGGUAAUACGUAGGUCCCGAGCGUUGUCCGGAUUUAUUGGGCGUAAAGCGAGCGCAGGCGGUUAGAUAAGUCUGAAGUUAAAGGCUGUGGCUUAACCAUAGUACGCUUUGGAAACUGUUUAACUUGUGUGCAAGAGGGGAAAGUGGAAUUCCAUGUGUAGCGGUGAAAUGCGUAGAUAUAUGGAGGAACACCGGUGGCGAAAGCGGCUCUCUGGCUUGUAACUGACGCUGAGGCUCGAAAGCGUGGGGAGCAAACAGG
rnacentral:rRNA from 1 species